rnacentral:rRNA from 1 species
AUUGAACGCUGGCGGCAUGCCUUACACAUGCAAGUCGAACGGCAGCGCGGGGCAACCUGGCGGCGAGUGGCGAACGGGUGAGUAAUAUAUCGGAACGUGCCCUGGAGUGGGGGAGUAACUAGUCGAAAGACUAGCUAAUACCGCAUACGAUCUAAGGAUGAAAGUAGGGGGAGUCGCAAGACCUCAUGCUCGUGGAGCGGCCGAUAUCUGAUUAGCUAGNGGUAGGGUAAAGCCUACCAAGGCGACGAUCAGUAGCUGGUCUGAGAGGACGACCAGCCACACUGGGACUGAGACACGGCCCAGACUCCUACGGAGGCAGCAGUGGGGAAUUUUGGACAAUGGGCGCAAGCCUGAUCCAGCAAUGCCGCGUGAGUGAAGAAGGCCUU